rnacentral:tRNA from 1 species
GUCCGGAUGUAGCCCAGUGGUCAGAGUAUUGGACUCGUAAUUUGAAGGCCCGGGUUCGAUUCCUGUACUCUUAACU